rnacentral:misc_RNA from 1 species
ACUGUGUAUCUGCGUACUAAAACAUGACGGGAUUAGAUUUUGAGGAAAUGUUGGACAUUGCAAGAAAACACCGAAUUCUAAUUGGUUCACUGGUGGGAAUAGGUGUGAGUUUUGCUGCCAUGAGACGAUAUUUUGCUGGAGGUGUUUGUCGCAGCAAAGCAAGACUUGAUGGAAAAACUGUCAUCAUCACAGGAGCUAACACAGGCAUUGGGAAAGAGACUGCCAUUGAUCUGGCAUCAAGAGGUGCAAAAGUGAUAUUAGCAUGUCGUGAUGUUAUGAGGGCAGAGAGAGCUGCAACAGACAUCCUGAAGAAAUCCAACAACCAAAAUGUUGUUGUCAAGAUUGUAGACUUGGCCUCCUUAGAUUCCAUCCGCAAAUUUGCUGACAACAUCAACAAAAGCGAGCCUAAAAUUGAUAUUCUUAUAAAUAAUGCAGGUAUAAUGAUGUGUCCAUACUGGAAGACCCAAGAUGGUUUCGAGAUGCAGUUUGGAGUGAACCAUCUUGGACAUUUCCUGUUGACCAAUCUACUCCUAGAUAAAAUAAAAAGUUCGGCCCCUGCUAGAAUCAUCAAUGUGUCGUCCCGUGCACAUACACGUACAGAUAAAUUAGACUUUGAUGACCUUAACAGUGAAAAAAAUUACAACAGUAUGGCAGCUUACCGCCAGAGCAAACUUGCCAAUGUAUUGUUCACGAGGGAGUUGAGUCGGAGAUUGCAAGGAACAAAUGUGACAGCGAAUUCACUACAUCCUGGAGUUGUGGAUACAGAGCUGACUCGUUACCUUCCUCAGAGCGUGCCGUUUUACUUCCGGAUCCUGUUUGCCCCCAUCAUUUAUAUUAUCGGCAAAACUCCUUUACAGGGAGCUCAGACCACUAUAUACUGUGCUGUAGAGGAAAGCCUAGCCAAUGUUACAGGGAAAUACUUCAGUGACUGUGCUAUCAAGGAGGAAUCUAAGGCUGCCCAGGAGGACGAGGCUGCUAAGAAACUGUGGGAAGUAUCAGAAAAACUGGUGGGUCUCCGAAAAUGAAAAACCCCAACUCCCAUAGUAGCAGAAUAGGGCAAAUAUUUUUAUCUGAAAGUUCCUUGAUAAUAUGAACGUAUAGAUUGAUGUACAUGUACUACUGAUUCUUAAGUUAUAAAUCUGUUGUCAGUGAAAUCAUAUUUAUUACAGUACUAUUUAAAUGAUAGUUGACAUCAAGUAUUCUAUGAUUUACAAUAUAUUCAUUGUUGAUCUGUUGGAUCUAAAACACACAAAGGUUGAGAUCUAGCUAGCAAUCGUAAACUGCUUUCUUUUUGAGCAUAUGAUAUAAUUAUCUGAACAGAGCCCAUUAAUUUACCUAUGUACUUACAUUAUUGGAGUCAGAAUGAUUUAUAUACAUGUGUACAUGCAUAUAGCAGGAUUUUGAAAACAAUGUUGAUAAAAAGAAUGUCUGUUUGGCUGGGGGUAUUUUUAAUUUUUUGCAUAUUUUCUGUUUUUUGUGAAUACAGAAAUAACAUUUUUGAUUUGCAGAGGCUAGCCUAUAUAAUAAGUAGAUUGUUGAGUCUUUGAAAUUACUUUUUUGAUUACAUUGAUAUAAAACAAGACAACAUUUUAUUUUGCAGUAUUAUUUGCUAUGAUUGCAUUAUUAUAAAAAAAGACAUUACAGUAUUUGAAAAGUUAUUAACUGUUUUAUUACAAGUAUGUUGUAUUAUGUACAUGUAUACUGUAUACAGGGUUAUUUUCGCCCCGUGUUAUUUUCACCCUUCUACACUUGCAAACAGCUGUUUUUCCCAUCUUGAAUUCGCCCAGAUGCAAUUGUGUUAAAAGAGAUACAUGUAUUAUUUGCAAGAAUUGAAUUUGCCCACUGACAACGAGGGCGAGAGGGGCAAAAAUAAAACGAGGGCAAAUAUUUCCCUGUAUAGUUUUCCUUUUUUCAUAAGGCCAUGAAAGUUAAUAGUGUGUUUCUGGUCCCUUUACCAAUGAAUUAUUUAAGUCAAUCCUCAACGUUGUCUGAUCCAAUUCCUAAAUAUUCUGUUCAUAUCAUAUAGAUGGAAAAUGUGUAAUAAUUUUAUUGUCUUUAUAUUACAUACUAGUUAACAUCAAUGACUUUGGCUUAGUGGUAUCACAUAAAACAAUUACACUAAGUGUGUAAAGAAAGUGGUUUGAAGCCCCAUUUUUGCCACAUACGAGUUUUCAUUUUUCAGAUACUUUCUAUUACAACUCUUAAUUUGGACGAAAAUGCAAAUAUAUGAUUUUAAUUAUUGCAUAUAAAGAAGAAUUAGCAGAAAGCAUUUUUAGGAUGGUAUACCAUGUUGAGCUGAGAAUCAGAGAAAUGUUAAGUCUGGAUUAGUAUUAUAUUUCAUGGAGUAUUUUUGCUUUCUUUAAUUUGCACUUGUAUUUAGAGCAACCAUUUGUGUAAGUCAUGAAGGCACAUAAGUGUUUGUGUAAUAGCCAGGUGAAUAUUUGCAAAAUCAUUUGCUUCAUAAAUGUAGUAACAAAUGUAUGUCAAUUGAUUCUUUGAUUUGGUUGAUUAAAAAUAAAUUACAUUAAUAUAAAGUGUUAACAUCU